rnacentral:ribozyme from 15 species
ACUCCUGCAUCAGACGCGGGGCAGGUCUGUGACUGGACCGCCGUCAGGGAUGGCUUGUUUGACUUGCCAAACUGUUCGAAGCAGAUCUGCCCUGGACAUCUCCCCUUCGAGGAGAUCCCGUGGGAAAAGUUUCCAGGCGAUAAGAAAUUUGACAGUGUCACAAAG